rnacentral:lncRNA from 1 species
GAAAAAAGGAGAGGCGUUGGAUGAUGGCUCAUUAAUUGAGCUGGCACAUCACACGGCCUCUGAGCGUGCUUCCACCAAGGUCCUUAGUCAAAUGAAUCACAUGGCACAUUAUCAAAAGUCAUAACAAUGGAGCGUGGAGAUUAAAUCUGGAAAAUGCAUUGUGUGGCUCAGAUUGGAUCUGGCAAACAGACGGUGGCCAACACCACUGUCUUCUCCGGUGAGCUCCGAUGGAG